rnacentral:lncRNA from 1 species
UUUUCCAUUCAGCCAGCAUUAGGGUUUUAAACCCUAAACUGAAUUUUCCCUUUAGUCAGCAUUAGGGUUUUAAACCCUAAACUGAAUUUUUCCAUUCAGUCAGCAUUAGGGUUUUAAACCCUAAACUGAAUUUUUCCUUUAGUCAGCAUUAGGGUUUUAAACCCUAAACUGAAUUUUUCCAUUCAGCCAGCAUUAGGGUUUUAAACCCUAAACUGAAUUUUCCCUUUAGUUAGCAUUAGGGUUUUAAAACCCUAAACUGAAUUUUUCCAUUCAGCCAGCAUUAGAAUUUUAAAUCCUAAACUGAGCUUUCCCAGGUAGUCAGCAUUAGGGUUUUAAACCCUAAACUGAAUUUUUCCUUUAGUCAGCAUUAGGGUUUUAAACCCUAAACUGAAUUUUUCCUUUAGUCAGCAUUAGGGUUUUAAACCCUAAACUGAAUUUUUUCCAUUCAGCCAGCAUUAGGGUUUUAAACCCUAAACUGAGCUUUUCUAGGUAGUCAGCAUUAGGGUUUUAAACCAUAAACUGAAUUUUUCCUUUAGUCAGCAUUAGGGUUUUAAACCCUAAACUGAACUUUUUUCCAUUCAGCCAGCAUUAGGGUUUUAAACCAUAAACUGAGCUUUUCCAUGCAAUCAGCAUUAGGGUUUUAAACCCUAAACUGAAUUUUCCUUUAGUCAGCAUUAGGGUUUCAAAACCCUAAACUGAACUUUUUUCCAUUCAGCCAGCAUUAGGGUUUUAAACUCUAAACUGAGCUUUUACAUGCAAUCAGCAUUAGGGUUUUAUAACCUAAACUGAAUUUUUCCUUUAGUCAGCAUUAGGGUUUUAAACCCUAAACUGAACUUUUUCCAUUCAGCCAGCAUUAGGGUUUUAAACCCUAAACUGAGUUUUUCCAUGCAAUCAGCAUUAGGGUUUUAAACCCUAAACUGAAUUUUUCCUUUAGUCAGCAUUAGAGUUUUAAACCUUAAACUGAACUUUUUUCAUUCAUCCAGCAUUAGGGUUUUAAACCCUAAACUGAGCUUUUCCAAGCAAUCAGCAUUAGGGUUUUAAACUCUAAACUGAAUUUUUUCUUUAGUCAGCAUUAGGGUUUUAAACCGUAAACUGAAUUUUUUUCAUUAAGUCAGCAUUAGGGUUUUAAACCCUAAACUGAAUUUUUUCCUUUAGUCAGCAUUAGGGUUUUAAACCCUAAACGGAAUUUUUUACAUGCAAUCAGCAUUAGGGUUUUAUAACCUAAACUGAAUUUUUCCUUUAAUCAGCAUUAGGGUUUUAAACCCUAAACUGAACUCUUUUCAUUCAGCCAGCAUUAGGGUUUUAAACCUUAAAUUGAGCUUUCUCAUGCAAUCAGCAUUAGGGUUUUAAACCCUGAACUGAAUUUUUCCUUUAGUCAGCAUUAGGGUUUUAAACCCUAAAUUGAACUUUUUUCCAUUCAGUCAGCAUUAGGGUUUUAAACCCUAAAUUGAACUCUUUUCAUUCAGCCAGCAUUAGGGUUUUAAACCCUAAACUGAAUUUUUCCAUUUAGUCAGCAUUAGGGUUUUAAACCCUAAACUGAAUUUUUCCUUCAGCCAGCAUUAGGGUUUUAAACCCUAAACUGAACUUUUUCCUGUAAUCAGCAUUAGGGUUUUAUAACCUAAACUGAAUUUUUCCCUUAGUCAGCAUUAGAGUUUUAAACCCUAAACUGAACUUUUCCCCAGUUGGUCAGUAUUAGAGUUUCAACUCUAAAACUGAACUUCUCCCCAGCUAGUCGGUAUUAGGGCUCCAACCCUGAACUGAGCAUUUUUAUCUUCCUUCAUCAAUUUUAUGAACUUCCUGGCGAAUAAUUCACGAAAUUUUCCUAGUGAAACUGGGGCAGAAAAUUUCGUUCGUUUGUUUGUUUUCUCCCGCAGGUCUAACCUCGAGCCGCACGGAUCGAAAUGACCCACGAGAUGAGUCUCAACUCAGAAUCAAAGAAGAAAAAGACAAAAAGAAGAUGUCCCGAGAUAUCAGAGUAAAUGGAAGGCGGAUCGACUCCAACAUUUGAUUAAGGUCCUGAACUCUGCCAGUCGCAUUUCACUCAGUAUCCCAAAGAUUGAACAAGUCGCUGCAACUCGCAAGC